GUCUAUGGCCAUACCACCCUGAAUGCCCCUCACCUCAGAAGCUAAGCAGAGCUGGGCUUGGUUAGUACUUGAAUGGGAGGCUACUCAGGUAACCUCCUCAACUGGGCG
rnacentral:rRNA from 1 species